rnacentral:rRNA from 1 species
UACGUAGGGGGCAAGCGUUGUCCGGAAUCAUUGGGCGUAAAGAGCGUGUAGGCGGCUUGGUAGGUCUGCUGUGAAAACUCGGGGCUCAACCCCGAGACGUCGGUGGAAACCACCUGGCUAGAGUCCGGAAGAGGAGAGUGGAAUUCCUGGUGUAGCGGUGAAAUGCGCAGAUAUCAGGAAGAACACCCGUGGCGAAGGCGGCUCUCUGGGACGGUACUGACGCUGAGACGCGAAAGCGUGGGGAGCGAACAGG